GAUGAACGCUGGCGGCGUGCCUAAUACAUGCAAGUCGAGCGAACAGAUGAGGGCCUUGCUCCUCUGACGUUAUCCGCGGACGGGUGAGUCACACAUGGAUAACCUCCCUAUAAGACUGGGAUAACUUCGGGAAACCGGAGCUAAUCCCGGAUAAUAUAUUGAACCGUAUGGUUCAAUAGUGAAAGACGGUUUUGCUGUCACUUAUAGAUGCAUCCGCGCCUCAUUAGCUAGUUGGUAUGGUAACGGCUUACCAAGGCGACGAUGCGUAGCCGACCUGAGAGGGGGAUCGGCAAAACGGGAACUGAGACACGGGCCAGACUCCUACGGGAGGCAGCAGUAGGGAAUCUUCGGAAAGGGGCGAAAGCCUGACGGAGAAACGCGGCGGGAGUGAUGAAGGUCUUCGGAUGGUAAAACUCGGUUAUUAGGGAAGAACAAUGGUGGAAGUAACUAUGCACGUCGUGACGGUACCUAAUCAGAAAGCCACGGCUAACUACGUG
rnacentral:rRNA from 1 species